rnacentral:rRNA from 1 species
GAUGCCCUGGCAGUCAGAGGCGAUGAAGGACGUGCUAAUCUGCGAAAAGCGUCGGUAAGGUGAUAUGAACCGUUAUAGCCGGCGAUGUCCGAAUGGGGAAACCCAGUGCAAUUCGUUGCACUAUCGUUAACUGAAUACAUAGGUUAACGAGGCGAACCGGGGGAACUGAAACAUCUAAGUACCCCGAGGAAAAGAAAUCAACCGAGAUUCCCCCAGUAGCGGCGAGCGAACGGGGAGCAGCCCAGAGUCUGAAUCAGCUUGUGUGUUAGUGGAACGGUCUGGAAAGUCCGACGGUACAGGGUGAUAGUCCCGUACACCAAAAUGCACAGGUUGUGAACUCGAAGAGUAGGGCGGGACACGUGGUAUCCUGUCUGAAUAUGGGGGGACCAUCCUCCAAGGCUAAAUACU